UACGGGGGGGGCAAGUGUUCUUCGGAAUGACUGGGCGUAAAGGGCACGUAGGCGGUGAAUCGGGUUGAAAGUGAAAGUCGCCAAAAAGUGGCGGAAUGCUCUCGAAACCAAUUCACUUGAGUGAGACAGAGGAGAGUGGAAUUUCGGUGUGUAGGGGUGAAAUCCGUAGAUCGUAGAAGGAACGCCAAAAGCGAAGGCAGCUCUCUGGGUCCCUACCGACGCUGGG
rnacentral:rRNA from 1 species